AGACCCGAAACCCGGUGAUCUAGCCAUGGGCAGGUUGAAGGUUGGGUAACACUAACUGGAGGACCGAACCGACUAAUGUUGAAAAAUUAGCGGAUGACCUGUGGCUGGGGGUGAAAGGCCAAUCAAACCGGGAGAUAGCUGGUUCUCCCCGAAAGCUAUUUAGGUAGCGCCUCGUGAAUUCAUCUCCGGGGGUAGAGCACUGUUUCGGCUAGGGGGCCAUCCCGGCUUACCAACCCGAUGCAAACUGCGAAUACCGGAGAAUGUUAUCACGGGAGACACACGGCGGGUGCUAACGUCCGUCGUGAAGAGGGAAACAACCCAGACCGCCAGCUAAGGUCCCAAAGUCAUGGUUAAGUGGGAAACGAUGUGGGAAGGCCCAGACAGCCAGGAUGUUGGCUUAGAAGCAGCCAUCAUUUAAAGAAAGCGUAAUAGCUCACUGGUCGAGUCGGCCUGCGCGGAAGAUGUAACGGGGCUAAACCAUGCACCGAAGCUGCGGCAGCGAACGUAUCACUUAAAGCGAUUCAGCGGGUUACGAUUGACGGAGCGA
rnacentral:rRNA from 4 species